rnacentral:rRNA from 1 species
GGGAAUUUUGCACAAUGGGCGCAAGCCUGAUGCAGCAACGCCGCGUGAGUGAAGAAGGCUCUUGGGUUGUAAAGCUCUUUCGGCUGGAAAGAAGGGGUAGCCUGCGAACAGUUGGCUAUUCUGACGGUACCAGAAGAAGAAGCACCUGCUAACUUCGUGCCAGCAGCAGCGGUAAUACGAAGGGUGCAAGCGUUGUUCGGAAUUACUGGGCGUAAAGCGCGCGUAGGCGGGUCGGUUAGUCGAUUGUGAAAGCCCUGGGCUCAACCCGGGAAUGGCAGUCGAAACUACCGAUCUUGAGUGCCUGAGAGGAUGGCGGAAUUCCCGGUGUAGUAGUGAAAUACGUAGAUAUCGGGAAGAACACCUGAGGCGAAGGCGGCUAUCUGGCGGUGCACUGACGCUAAGGCGCGAAAGCGUGGGGAGCAAAC